rnacentral:tRNA from 1 species
GCCGAGGUAGCUCAGUUGGUAGAGCAGGGGACUGAAAAUCCCCGUGUCGGGGGUUCAACUCCCUCCCUCGGCACCA